AUGACUCUGGGCCGCCAACGCCACCGGGGGUCGGGGCGUUUCUGGGUCCUGCCCCGAGCGCUGCCCCCCAUCCGCCCGACCCCAUCAGGGCGCCCACACUCCCUAUCAAUCGCACCCCUGUCGCAGCCGCAAGGAAGGCAUGCCCGGGGCCCCCCGCGCCUACCUCGGGCCACCGCGGAGGGCGCGCCAGGCCAGGCAGGGGCCGCGGGCACUGAGGCCGGGCCGGCGAGCCCGUGGCCGGCAGAGGCGCCCCUGCCCCAGGCCUGCCUCCGGCUUUCCUGGCUUCUCGCGGAGACCUGCGGAGCCGUCGGCCGCACCGGCUCGCGGGCGGGAGCCGCCGAGCAGCAAGCAGGGUGCCCCGAGUCACGCAGGGGCAGCGGGGGCGCCCCCGGCCCGGGAGGGCUGCUGACCCGGGGCCGGGACGCCGGGGCCGGCCGGGGGGGCUCCUCGCCCAGGCACUGCCCGGAAUUCCCCGCCGUCCAGCCCUCACCGCGCUCCCCACACCCGCGGCGGGCGCCCCGCAUCCCCGCCCCCGACCUGCGCCGCCCGAGAGCCGCCCCCGCGGCCCUCCCCGCGCCCCCUCGGGCGGCCACCGGCUGCGACGAGGCCCCGGGCGGCCCCGGGUGCGGCGGGGCCGGGUGGGGCUGGGCAGGCCCGGCUCACCUGCUGGGGACGCCGCGGCGCCGCGGCCGCCGAGCAGCAACAACAGCAGCAGCAGCGGCGGCGGCGGCCGCAUGGCCCGGGGCUGCGGCGCCGCCGGCUCGGCCGCGGCUCUGGGAGCGGCCCGGCCCCGGCGCGGGGUCCCCCGAGCGGCUCACGUCGCCGCCCCGGCGGCCAUGGCGAGCGCAGGGAGAGCGGGGCCCGCCCCUUCCCGGGCGGCGGCGGCGGCGGCGGCGGCGGCGGCGGCGGGACGGCCCGGCUCGGCCGCCGCGCCCCUCCCGGCCCCUCCCGGCCCCUCCCGGCGGCCCCGCCCCGCCCCGCGGCCGCGGGACUUUCCUGGCGGCCAGACCCGCGCGGUGGGCGCCGACUCUCCCCGCGGCCCAGGCCCGGGCCUCCCCGAGCGGGCAAGAGCGGGCCGCCCGGGCCCGGCACAGCCCCCGCCGACCCCGCCGACCCCGCCGACCCCACCGCCAGGGGCAUUGCGGCCCCUCCGGGAAGAGCCCCCUCCCCCUCCCCCUCCCCCACCCCCAACCCCAAGGCUCGCGGUGGGCCUCGUGCCGAGCCUCGCCUCCGCGCCCUCCCCCACCCGCGCCCCAUCAUCCCCCCUUCCCCUGCUGCUCCCAGAUGCGUGGGGGUCACACAGGGUCCUCCCUUGGCUUAAACUUUGCUUUCGUAGCCUCUCAAGUGCACACUAAGCUUUUAACCCCUUUUUGGAAACAGGGUUAA
rnacentral:lncRNA from 1 species